CUGNUGACUUUGUAAUUACUUAUUGUUUGAAAUGUUUGGCCUCUAAGUUAAGAUAAAACUCCUACAUUGGAAAGAAAAAAAAUAGAUAAAAAAAAUACAAAAAUGAAAAAAAUGUCUUUGAUUGCUGUUUGUUUAUUAUUCACAUCGCGUAUUCAAUAUAACAUGUUUAAUGAAUGUGUUUGGAUAGCCCAUUCGGACAACACUCAAAAUAUAUAUGUUACAGGGAAUUUGUGAAAUCAGUGAUUUUGUAAAAUCACUGAAAUUUCAGGGAAUUUGUAAAAUCACUGAACUGAUUAGUGAUUUUAUAAAAUCCCUGAUUUUGACUAGUGAUUUUACAAAAUCACUGAAAUAAUUAAGAUCUUUUUUACAGAUUCACUGAUUAAAUUCAGGAAAUUUGUAAAAUACAUUUAUUCAUUUUUAUUAAGAAUUUCUGUGAAAAAAGACUACAACAGUAACACAGAGGUUAAUCUAGUCUUUAUUUUAAUAUUAAGUGAGCGGUUUUCAUGCACAAAACAAGUGACAUACUGUAGAACAAAGGCUCAGGCACAAAUGUCUUGAAAUCAAGAGCAAACGUACAUACAAAAGUUACUUCAAUGGAUUGAGGUAAAAUUAAAGUGCAACAUAUGGAACCAGGGAAAAUAUGAUAAACAUUUUGGAAUAUUUUGUCAAUAAGCCACAAAAAGAAGACAAAACAAGCUCUUAUCACUACCUGUUUGAAAGAAAGUUACUGUUUAUUAUAGUUUUUCUGUAUAAUUACUGUAGAUAAUAAAAUCAAUUAUAUAAUUUUUUUAAAUCAAAUAUAACUGAACAUUAGGUUGAUUGCUGUCAUUUGAGAAGAAAAACACAUAUGCAAGGUAUAAGAAAUUAAGUGGGUUAGGGUAUGUGAUCCAGUGGCAAAUAUUACAUGCAUAUCAGAUCAAGAGCAUCUUAUUGCUGCAUGAAAAUUGAUAUAUAAAAAGCAAAUAAAGGUUGUAUUAUUAAUUUGCUGCCUACAAAAUAACAUUUAUAUUCACAAAAUAAUAAUAAAAAAAACAGAAAAUAUUGGUAAUAAUACUUUGUUUUGUAUUUGCAUGUUUAUGAAUAGGUUAAUCUAACCAAGCAAAAAUAAACAAAGUUUUACCUACUUUGGUCAUUUAUCAGACACAUGUAUUCUAUCAAAAAGUGGUAUAACUUUGAAUAAGUUUCUAAAAUUUCUCAUCUCUUUUAAUCCAAAUAAAGUAAAUAUUUUGUUGAGAAAUGAAGGUAUGUAGUUCUUCAAUGUGAAGAUUUGAAAAAAAUUUGUUAAAAACGAUAUUCAUCAGAUGAAGAUGUUUUAAAAAUAUUAUGUAUGUCUUGAAGACAUGUAAAGCAUAGUUAAGAAAUAGCUUAAAAUGGUAGGAAUGUCACCCAAACUUGUCUUGCAAAAAUAAGCAAAUUCAGAGUGGUCUAAAUAGCCUUUUAAAUGACUUUUAGUCAUUAUCAUUAUACACGAGUUCUAGCUCAUAGUACAAAUAUAUUUCUAAAUCAUAAGUGAUCAUUCAUUUGGUCUAUCUUUAUAUUAAGAAAAACACAUUUCUAAUAGCCUGUUAUACUUUAUUGUAAUCAGGGAUUUUACAAAAUCCCUAGCUCUAUUUUCAGUGAUUUUGUAAAAUCCCUAACAAUUUCAGGGAUUUUACAAAACCACUGAAACUGUUAGUGAUUUUACACAAUCACUGAUUAGUCCAGUGAUUUUACAAAAUCCCUGAUUUUACAAACUCCCUGUAACAUAUACACAUAUACCUGCAAGAGAGAUCAGUAAAAUACCUUAAGGAUAUUCAGACCCACAAG
rnacentral:lncRNA from 1 species